rfam:Picea glauca, whole genome shotgun sequence.
AUACCUUUCUCGACCUUUUGGCUAAGAUCAAGUGUAGUAUUUAUUCUUAUCAAUUUAAUAUCUGAUAUGUGGUUCAUAGAACCACAUGGUAUUAAAUGUAUUUUUCUAGGGGGGAGCCCCUUUAUCGGUAGCUUGUUGUCGGGGUUGUCUUGCAUCGAUUGUGCACUGCACUACAUCACUAGGCGCAACAACAUUC